CCAGCCAUGCCGCGUCCAGCCAUGCCGCGUGCAGGAAGACGGCCUUCUGGGUUGUAAACUGCUUUUACCAGGGGAUAAAAUAUCCUUGCGAGGAAAAUUGAAGGUACCUGGAGAAUAAGCACCGGCUAACUACGUGCCAGCAGCCGCGGUAAUACGUAGGGUGCAAGCGUUGUCCGGAUUUAUUGGGUUUAAAGGGUGCGUAGGCGGGCUAUUAAGUCAGUGGUGAAAUCCAACAGCUCAACUGUUGAUGUGCCAUUGAUACUGGUAGCCUUGAGUACAGAUGAGGUAGGCGGAAUUGACAGUGUAGCGGUGAAAUGCAUAGAUAUUGUCAAGAACUCCGAUAGCGAAGGCAGCUUACUGGGCUGUAACUGACGCUGAUGCACGAAAGUGUGGGGAUCAAACAGGAUUAGAUACCCUGGUAGUCCACACUGUAAACGUUGAUGACUCGCUGUGUGCGAUAUACAGUACGCGGCUUAGAGCAAUCGUUAAGUCAUCCACCUGG
rnacentral:rRNA from 1 species